rnacentral:lncRNA from 1 species
CAUUGGCAAAGUUAAUAAAGAACAGCUUCUGCCAAUCUCAGGCAAUUCUAAAAAAAUAAUCACUUUGCAAGACUUUAAUAAAUUAAGGGAUAUGAAUGUGAAAAAUAGAAUGGUUCGUCAAAUCUGCCAGAGCUGUGAGAAAACCAGUUGCUUUGUGGAUGUAGUGGUUGGGUUCAACAUUUCUACUCACCAUCAGGGGCAGCCUUUGUUCCAUGGCCACCCUCGCUUGGAAUCGUACCUGCCAUUCAUCUUACAGGACAUCACCUCCAUCAGGGGAGUGAGCUGUGGGGCAGGUGCAGAGGCACAGGUGAGCCUGGCCUUCAAGGUGAACAGUGAUCGAGAGUUCCCUGCCAAGUUCCAAAUCUACCAGAGAUCACUGUUUGACAGCUUGCUGCAAGUCACUGUCAGCGGCCCAACCCAUCUGAACGUACAGUUCUUGGAGUCAAUGUGGGAUACAUUUGAAGAUAAAUCUGCAUCUCGGGGACAGGUACUGCUGAUCUUUUCAGAUGGUCUCCAAGGUGAAAGCACCACAAUGCUUGAAAAUCAAUCAGACCGUCUGAGAAAAGCAGGACUUGAUGCUCUGCUGGUGGUAGCUCUCAACACAGCUGCUCAUGAUUUUUCCAGCUUUGAAUUUGGAAAAGGAUUUGAUUAUAGGACUCACUUGACCAUUGGAAUGACACAACUAGGCAACAUGCUGUCACAAUACCUGGUGAGUUUUUUUUAAAGUCUAGCUAUUCCAAAUGUCUUGAGAACUAAAUUGAACUCUU